AUGCGAUACGUAAUGUGAAUUGCAGAGCUCAGUGAAUCAUCGAAUCUUUGAACGCACAUUGCGCCCCUUGGUAUUCCGAGGGGCAUGCCUGUUCGAGCGUCAUUAUCACCCCUCAAGCCUAGCUUGGUGUUGGGGCCCGUCCGUCAGGGCAGCCCUUAAAAUCAGUGGCGGCGCCGUCAGGCUCUAAGCGUAGUAAUACUUCUCGCUAUAGAGUCCUGGCGGUCUCUUGCAAAACCCCUAAUUUUUUAUGAUUGACCUCGGAUCAGGUAGGGUUACCCGCUGAACUUAA
rnacentral:misc_RNA from 1 species